AUCACUUCCCUCUGAGCAAUAUCCUCCCUGCAGGGCAGAGUCCCAACACUCGGUUACACCUACGGACUCGGCCUAGUGAUAUGGGACACUGAGACUGGAGGGAGGGAAGGGGCUCACCCCACCCUUUCCACACCUUACUCCCAGUAUGCAGGUUUCUAGAAACCGGGUUAAGAAGCUGCAGAUUUGGAGAGAUGUCAGGGGUGGCUAUGGGGCGCCUGUAGGGAGAGGGCAGGAUUCCUGCUCUGGCCGGGGUCGGUGGGGAGGUUGUUGUGUGUGCUGGUAGAGUCUUGGUCCCUAUUUCUUACCCCAGUUGGCUCUCUCAGGCUUCUGUCCCCAGGGAGAAGAGCUGCCACAUCAAGCCUCAGGAACUCUCCUUUGACCCUGAACUGCCCACUUCCCUUCUUUCCUGACGGCGCCAGCAGAGGGCACCAGGAGCCACGCAGGAGCUGCGGGACGUCCUGGCCACAGGGAUGCCGCCCUCAGCCAGCCUCACCUGAGGAUGGAACAGGGGGCUGCCUGGUUGCAGCGAUCCUUCAGAGAGCAGUCCCUGCUGCCUUGCACAAAACGCCUCUGAGAUCAGAAGCCCUUUCAUGGAGAGCAGCCCACCUCUCCAAACUCAGCACUGAGGCUACCAGAAAAAGAAGCCAGUAGAACCCCAGUACCUCCCGGAAAAUCCAGCAGAAAUCCACAUUUUUGCCCAUGCACUGCCACCUGCUGGCCAGCAGGUGUGGAGUUGCUGAGAGGCUAGAGGCAGAAUGGAGGUGGAGGCUGUGGAAGUUUCACCUUCCAGCUCCGCCUCUCCUGCGCACAGGACUAGGGUCCCGUCCCUGGGGGUGUGACUGACCCCCCACAUUUCCCCUCUGCUGCUCCUGUCAAAUCCAUCUCGCAUGCUGUGGCCUUGUUGAAAAGACUCUGUUAAAAUAACUCACAUGGAGGUGUUGUGACUGAUGAUGACUUUAAUUAUAUCUUUUACCCAGCCCCUCUGAGAAAAAAAAAAUUGGAAUCCAGGUUGGACCAUGUUUACCUCCAAAUAAAUGACUCUCUAAUUGUGGAGUUUCGGGCUCUGCAUUGGUGUUUUGGACAGGCAGGGCUCUUCCUAAGCAUCCCUGGAUCUCUGAUUUACCCUGAGUGAGAGGUUGAGUCAGUAGGGCAUAUAUUGUACCUGUCACCUCAGGAUGUCAUAAAGGAAUAGAAUAUUAGAGUUGGCAGUGACCUUAGAGACCCAGCCAUUGCACAGGUGAAUCAAGAAAGGGAAGGGAUUUGCCCACAGGGAACAGACUGGAAGGAGAAUCUCUCCCCAAAACUGACAGACAUUCUGAGAAUUUUAAGGGGAAGCAUGAUAUUCAAAUCCCAGAGAGCAGUCUUGCUCCCCCAAUCCCAUUAUCCCCUAUUCCUUCCCAAGGAUGACAUAAGGGCUGGGCAGAGGGAGGCAUCACUGGCACAGAGAGAGCCCCCUGCCUCCUCCAGCUCAGUGUCUGUUCUUCCGUCCAUACCUGCCUGUGGGAUGUGAUCCAGCUCACGGCUCUUCUCCAGAAGGGUUGGAGAGGAAUUUUGUCUCAUUUUCCAUCUUUUUAUCUCUCUCAGCUACAUUAUGGAUGAUUCCAACUUUUUAAAAAAAUUUAUGAAUUCCUUUGCAAAUGUUUCUAAUCUGAUGUUUAUACCUUUUUUUACUUUCAAAAUUUAAUAAUUUUAUUUUUCAUUUUGAGAUGUAUUUGGUGUCAAAUCCGUUUGGUCAUCUUGGAUAACUUUGUGUUCCCUGCAUGUGUUUUUAAUUUCCCCUUUUAUUCCUGUAAACACUGAAAACACAACUUUGAAUUCUGUUCCCAAUAAUCCCAUAAUUGUGACAUCUUUGGUGAUCUAAUUCUGAAUCUGCUGCUCCUACUGACACUUACUCUGAAAGACUGUUUUUCUUGUGGAGGCUCAAUUUUUAUUGCGAGCUCAUGUUUUGCAGAUAUCAGUCUGUGGGAAUUCUGAGAGGCCUGGGCUGAGGGUUAGCCCUCUGGAGAGAUCUGUUUUGAUUUCUAUCAGGAGCCCUGGAGUACUUGCUUCCAUCCUGGAAACACACUAAAAUAUUUCUUUCUCUCGGAUAUUCUUCAGGGAGUGCAAAUCCAUACCCAAAAUCCAUGUAAGGACAGUCUUUAAAUUUUCAGGGGGAGGGAAGAGUAAAAUAUCUCUCUUCUUUUUCCUCUUCCUUCUCUUCUUCCACCUUCUCUCUUUCUCUUUUUUAAGACAAAGCCAAGACCAAGACAGACACAUUUUCUUGUUAGUUUCUUUUUCUAUGCCAUCUUUUUUUUAAAGAGUUAGCUUUUCAAGGAUUCUAGCUUUUUCUAAGAGUCUCAGUCCUGACACUCCAUCUUGCCGGCAUGAGGCCAGGGCCUUGCCUUGUCUGUUUUGUAUGGCUGUUAAAACCAGUGACUGCAGGUUUCAGAUAUUUCCAGGUACUUCUAGGGCAGCCCACAGCAUCAGGGGUCAUUUACCUUUCUGGGUUUCAGCCUCUUCUUUGUUUUUGGCCUUAGUGAGUUUCCUUACUUUCUUAUACGUUCACGUUCAGGGAGUCAUUUAAAAUAUGUUUGCUUUAUUUCAAUCAACAUGUCCAGGUAUUUGUAGUGGAAUUAAUUUUCUUCCCAGAACAUUUAGUCUAGAAGUGGAAGUCCUGAUUUUAUAUUUAAAUGUUUGAAUGUUUGCUGCAUGUGAAAAGUUUAACCAACUGUGAAGCGCGAGGGAACACAACCCACACAGGAGAUCACCCUCACUUCCAACGCCAGUGACAAGUUUAGGGGUUCUCAAGGCCACCUCUUUUGAUACCCAUUGCAAAGUUGGAGAGGCCAGUUCCCCAAACCACUCAGUUUUGAUAAUUUGCUAGGAAGACUCAUAGAGCUAACUGGGAGAUGUUAGGCUCAUCUUAUACUCAUGGGUGCAGAUGAGCAUCAGCCAAAAGAGGUUGCUCACAGGUGUGUCUGGACCAUGCCUAGCUGCUGUGGUCCUCCCUGUGGGGUCAGCCUCCUGUUCCCAGCAUCCAUGUGUGGCAGAAUGUGGGAGUGCUGGCAACCAGGGAGGUUCACUUGAACCUCAGUGUCCAGAGUUUUCCUUGGGCCUCAUGGCAUAAGCAUGGCAGACGGUUCACAUACUGGUCUCUCUUUGCAGCCUGUGGCUUCUCUGGAUGUGACUCAAAACCUUUACCUUACAUUGUUGGACUUUCUAGUUUGACCAGUCCUUACCUGAAAUCACAUCGUUAGCUAUUCAGUGUAAAUACAAUCCGAC
ensembl:lncRNA